GACUGAGUUCGGGAGAUUUUGUGGCAAUGGGUAAUGUCAUGGCAUUCAAUUCGAACACUUUCUGAAGACAGCAGUGGCUCUUCUCUUUUCUUGCUAAUGGGGAAGAAGA